rnacentral:sRNA from 1 species
GCCGGGCGUGGUGGCACACGCCUGUAAUCCCAGCAGCUCGGGAGGCUGAGGCAGGAGGAUCGGGAGUUGAAAGCCAGCCUCAG